GAUGAACGCUGGCGGCGUGCCUAAUACAUGCAAGUCGAGCGAGCAGAUGAGGAGCUUGCUCCUCUGACGUUAGCGGCGGACGGGUGGGUAACACGUGGAUAACCUACCUAUAAGACUGGGAUAACUUCGGGAAACCGGAGCUAAUACCGGAUAAUAUAUUGAACCGCAUGGUUCAAUAGUGAAAGACGGUUUUGCUGUCACUUAUAGAUGGAUCCGCGCCGCAUUAGCUAGUUGGUAAGGUAACGGCUUACCAAGGCAACGAUGCGUAGCCGACCUGAGAGGGUGAUCGGCCACACUGGAACUGAGACACGGUCCAGACUCCUACGGGAGGCAGCAGUAGGGAAUCUUCCGCAAUGGGCGAAAGCCUGACGGAGCAACGCCGCGUGAGUGAUGAAGGUCUUCGGAUCGUAAAACUCUGUUAUUAGGGAAGAACAAAUGUGUAAGUAACUAUGCACGUCUUGACGGUACCUAAUCAGAAAGCCACGGCUAACUACGUG
rnacentral:rRNA from 1 species